AAGAAGAGGAGAAACGAGGGAAAAUUACAUAUUACGAAGAAAAAAAAAUGGUUAGAAAGUAGAGGACUUCGAUAUUCUGGCAAUCCGAGUCCUUUAAAUUGCUGAAGGGUAGACUCAGAUAAUAUGCUUUAUUUUGCAAGUAAGCAUUUCACACUGAAAAGUGGUUUGAAUUUUACUACACAAGUGUAGUGAAUUCAAUCUAUUUUUCUGCCACAAUUUGUUAUAAGCCAUUGAAACUCAGUUUUUCUCUUUUUUUUUUUUCUGUUUUUAUUCAAACAGUACUGGUGAAUAUUAGGUGUUUGUAGUUUGGUUCAUUGAAUUCACCAAUUUUCUCAGUUAUAUUAGAAUGUAUAUACUAAACUAAGUGUGAGCCUCUUCUUGUAUUGUCCAUUGCUCAUAACUUCCAUUUAGUCACCCAACUGCACCACAAGUGCUCCUUCAACGAACGGCACGGACAUCCAGUUGUUGUUUUUGUUAAUUAGUGAAAUUCUCAUGGAGAAUUCAAAACUUCAUUUUGUAGUAAUACCUGUAAUUUGACGGAUUUGAAGGCCACGUGUGAAUCCAAUCCGAUACUGGAUGAGAGUAGUGUUUGAUGAAAUCUCUCCAGCCGUAAACUUCAUCCCUGGCUUGAUUAAGGCUUGUUCCAUACCUCACAGGCAAUUCGAAUUUCAUUGAUGGUUGAUCUAGAAACAAGAGAUUGAUCACGCGAAGUAGACAAAUAUCUAUGAUGGGAAGAGUGGUUGAUAUUGGAAGAUGAGGGCUGGGUCGUUGUGAUGGUGGAAGAACAUAACGUCGAGGUAUAGAAGACACUCCAAGCUUGUUAAGACUCACAGCACUGGUUGUUCACUUACAUUGUACAUGCUAGAAAGUACAGAAAAAUGUUUUUCGUUCGGAAAAGAGUGUGGAUUAAAUGGUAGUAAGCUCUAGGUUUGAGUGAUGAUGAGAGUUGAAGUCAGAAGGGAAGAAAAAAGAGAGCAAAGUGAUGAAGGAAUUUUUAUGGAGUUACUGCUAGUGGGAAAAAAAUAGGUGGCUUGGCUUAUUUGGUCUUUUUCUUUUGUUGGAUAAAUGUUUGUACUUUUUACACGUACUAGAAGAAGUACAAGUACAUGCUGCAUAGAGAUUAUUGGCU